rnacentral:rRNA from 1 species
CACCAGUGGGGAAUAUUGCGCAAUGGGCGAAAGCCUGACGCAGCAACGCCGCGUGAGGGAUGAAGGCCUUCGGGUUGUAAACCUCUUUUAGCAGGGAAGAAGCGAAAGUGACGGUACCUGCAGAAAAAGCACCGGCUAACUACGUGCCAGCAGCCGCGGUAAUACGUAGGGUGCAAGCGUUAUCCGGAAUUAUUGGGCGUAAAGAGCUCGUAGGCGGUUUGUCGCGUCUGCUGUGAAAAUCUGAGGCUCAACCUCGGACUUGCAGUGGGGUACGGGCAGACUAGAGUGCGGUAGGGGAGAAGGGAAUUCCUGGUGUAGCGGUGGAAUGCGCAGAUAUCAGGAGGAACACCAAUGGCGAAGGCACUUCUCUGGGCCGCUACUGACGCUGAGGAGCGAAAGCGUGGGGAGCGAACAGGAUU